rnacentral:lncRNA from 1 species
GAGGGGAGGAACCUGAUCCUCGGUAGCGAAGGGCUGGAGGCAAACACCGAGCUCCCCCUGAGCCGCCUGGGAGCAGGGAGGGUUCUGCUACCCUGAGGGGCCCUCCCCGCGGGGCAGAGGGGUUUCCUCAGCAGUGCCCCGGAGCAGGGACCGCGCCAGCCAGCAGAAACAGCUAGUUGUUGUCUGCAGUGAAGAAUAAUUGGAAGCAUGGUGCCUGUUUCUUUUCCUGUGGGAGGAAGUCACAGCAUCUACUUCUGAAUCUGUGCUUGCCUUGAGGAAAAACGGCAUGGCACAGGAAUGUGGACGCUUUCAACCAGAGGAUUCUGUACGACGGUGUCGGCACACAAGGAGCCAAGAAUAGGACAGCUUGGGAAGCUCAUCCUCGUCUACGGCCAAACGUUGGUUUCUCAUUUCUAGAAGAUGAAAGAUGUGAUGACUCAGGAAAAACUGGAAUCUUAGUAACUGUGGUGGGCAUUGAGCCUUGCCGUCCACAAGAGAAAGCUUGCUGCUCGAGAUGUGAGUCUUCAGAUGUUCCUGCCGCCAUAUCUGACAGCUGCUGCCAAGAUUCCCUGGUGGGAUGGACUCUUAUACCUCAACAACCAGAAGCCCAAGUAAACUCUUCUAUAAAUUGAAUGACUCAUGCUUAAAAAAAAAAACAAAAAACAAACUAUCUUUA